rnacentral:piRNA from 1 species
AAGUGUCAAUUCCAUUUGUCAGAGACAGUA